UGGGGAGUAGCCAAGUGGUAAGGCAGUGGCCUUUGAAGCCAUCAUUCGGGGGUUCGAAUCCCUCCUCCCCAACCA
rnacentral:tRNA from 1 species